GGGCAUGUGGCUCAGUGGUGGAGUACUUGCCUGGCAUGCAGGAGGCCCUGGGUUCCAUCCCCAGUGUGACAG
rnacentral:tRNA from 1 species